GGCCAUGGCAGGGCACCUACGCACAGAGAGCGGCCAAUUAUCCUCUGACAUCAGCUGCCAUCCACCAAAGAGAAGCAACUGGAUCAGAUGGUCAUUGCACACAAGAGGGAUGCUGCUCCUUUCCUGAGGGAGCAACUGAACGUGCUCAAGUGAAGUUUCCACAAAUAGCAGGUGUGGCAGAAAAGAAAAGGGACUGCAGCAAGACGUUGUGAGCCUGCAGAUCAAGUACAGGCAAACUGUGGAAAUAACAUGUCUCUGAAAGAGAGAUGUUCCUGUGACUGUAUACCACACACUACAGAAAUGUUACAAUUUAAAGGUGCAGCUAAUAAAACAUUACUGGUUCAAUCACGUACUACUGAAACCUUCCUCUUAUUUCCAAGAGGGCGAAGACAAUAAUGAGGGCUGAGCACUGAGACGGAAAAAAGCUUUUUGGCAAAAGACAUGAUACUCAUUCAGUACUAGAUGUGGUUUGAGGAAGAAUUCUCCAUUUAAGAGGAAAGGAAAUGCACAGGGGGUGCAGAGCAGACAGUUUUUGAGGUUCAAGAAGAAAUACUUUGUGAUAAUGUACCUGUCAUGAUCCAUCCUCAUGUCCAAUGGCCCGUCCUUCUGCAG